CACGUAGGGGGCGAGCGUUGUCCGGAUUUAUUGGGCGUAAAGAGCUCGUAGGCGGCUCAGUAAGUCAGGUGUGAAAACUCCAGGCUCAACCUGGAGACGCCACCUGAUACUGCUGUGGCUAGAGUCCGGUAGGGGAGCAUGGAAUUCCUGGUGUAGCGGUGAAAUGCGCAGAUAUCAGGAGGAACACCAGUGGCGAAGGCGGUUCUCUGGGCCUGUACUGACGCUGAGGAGCGAAAGCGUGGGGAGCGAACAGG
rnacentral:rRNA from 1 species